rnacentral:rRNA from 1 species
UACAGAGGUCUCAAGCGUUGUUCGGAUUCAUUGGGCGUAAAGGGUGCGCAGGCGGCCCUGCGCGUCGCGAGUGAAAUCUCCCGGCUCAACUGGGAGGGUGGUCGCGAGACGGCAGGGCUUGAGGCUCGGUGAGGGGCGUGGAAUUCCGGGUGGAGCGGUGAAAUGCGUAGAGAUCCGGAGGAACACCAACGGCGUAGGCAGCGCCCUAGACGAGACCUGACGCUCAGGCACGAAAGCGCGGGGAGCGAACAGG